rnacentral:lncRNA from 1 species
GUUAGCUACCUGUGUCUAGGAGGGGGAAGUUCGGGGGGAGAGGCAACAAGCCUCAGUGCCCAAAACAGGCCGCCCGGCCGAGCAGGGCGGCGGGUCUCUCGGGAGCGGCGCCCGGAACUUCGAGGCUCGGGGGGGACGUCCCUGGCCCGACCGGGAGGCGAACCCUUCUCAAGGGCAAGGGGGGCCCGCCUUGGGCUCCGGCUCGGCCAAACCAGGCUCGGGCUCGAGCAAGCCGGGCCCCGCCGCGGGCAGGGCCGGGGGAGGGGAACAAAGGGGCUAAGCGGGUUAGUCCGCAGCAGCCCGGCCGACCUCACCCGGAGCCGGGGUCUCGCUCCCCGCACGCCGCCGGGCAUCCCGGGUCCCGGCCCCCGGCCUGGCCCUUCCUACCACCUAAGGCGCUUGCGCCUCCCCGUCCCUCAAGCUCUUACCCCGGCUUGUCGUCCCAAACCGCUCCGGUCCAGCUCCAAGCAGGCCGCGGGCAGAGCCAGGCCCGGCCGCGGCCCUCGAGUUACCAGGAAGCCGCAGGCCGCGCAGGUCGAGCCGGGCAAGCGGCACAGGAAAAGCCGCGCCUCGUCCCUCCCCUUCCUCCGCGGGGACCUGGUGACAGGGAAGCGAGAGGUUCCCCCCGACCGGCGGCAGCCAGCGCACGUCCGGUCCCCGGCACGCGGCUCUUCAGGCCCGCAGCUCACAGGCCCGCGCAGUGCUGCCAGCGGCGGCGGGGGGUGGCCGCGUCCAUCGCGAUCCCGGAGGGGGAAGGGAGGAGGGUCGGGCGAGAGCGGGGCGGGCAAGCUGCGGAGGGCAACCGAGCUCGGCGGAGGCGGAGCAAUCGACUCUCGCGGCAGCGACCCCACCGGCCGCCAGGUGGGGCGCUGCGGAGACCGGUCGGCCGGCGGCGCAGUAGCCCUAACCUGGGGCGCCAGGCUACGCGUGGCCGUCGCUAACAGGACGCUCUGGCCCUGCGGGCCUCGGACUCCCUUGUCAGCUGUCGCUUUUCUGCCGUACGCCCGCUCCCAGCACACCCGCACACUGGUGCACGCACGCUCAGCCUGUUUUGCACCGUGCCUACACACUUAG